UACAGAGGGUGCGAGCGUUAAUCGGAAUUACUGGGCGUAAAGGGUGCGUAGGCGGCUUUCUAAGUUGGAUGUGAAAACUCUGGGCUCAACCCAGAGCCUGCAUCCAAAACUGGAGAGCUAGGGUUCUGGAGGGGAAAGCGGAAUUCCUGGUGUAGCGGUGAAAUGCGUAGAUAUCAGGAGGAACACCGGUGGCGAAGGCGGCUUUCUGGACAGAUACCGACGCUGAGGCACGAAAGCUAGGGGAGCAAACAGG
rnacentral:rRNA from 1 species